rnacentral:lncRNA from 10 species
AACAGAAUCUUAACCCAAAAGAAGAAUGAGCCAAGAACAUGAACAGACAAUUCAAAGAAAAGGAAAUGACCUUUAAACAUAUGAAACAAUGUCCAACUUCAGGCAAUAAGAGAAAUGCACUUAUUAAGACUACAAGAAAAUGCCUUAUUUUUUCAUCUAUCAGUCUUGCAAAGAUUUGAAAGUUGACUAUUAUAUCAUUUUGACAAAAAGGGGAUCUGGUCUUCAACAAGUACAGGAAAGAAUCUCUUCUAGCAGUGGGAAGAAAAAGUGCAAACUUUGGACCCAUUACAUGGUGGAAGCUUCAGAAAUCUUUGUGCUAUGAAUAAGGAGCAAGCCUCCACGUGGGAAGCAGAGCGUUUGUCUGGACUGCUGUGACUUGUGACUCUUCUGUAGUCAUGUGUAACAUGUGGACUCCGCUGGAAAAAAGCAAGGAUUAAAGUAAGUCCCUAAUUCUAGGGAUCUGUAUUUGCAGGUCUAGCCUUACCAAAAUCUAGGCCCCUUUCCAACAGCAAUGAAGCUGAUAUUUUGAUCGCCAUCUGCCAGAAAUUUUUGUUCCUCUUCCAGUGUUUUUAAAAACACAGGCAAGAAAAAAAGCUGGCUCUUUAUCGUGCCUCUUCAAAUGCCC